UACGAAGGGGGCUAGCGUUGCUCGGAAUCACUGGGCGUAAAGCGCACGUAGGCGGAUCUUUAAGUCAGGGGUGAAAUCCCGAGGCUCAACCUCGGAACUGCCUUUGAUACUGGGGAUCUCGAGUCCGGAAGAGGUUGGUGGAACUCCGAGUGUAGAGGUGAAAUUCGUAGAUAUUCGGAAGAACACCAGUGGCGAAGGCGGCCAACUGGUCCGGCACUGACGCUGAGGUGCGAAAGCGUGGGGAGCAAACAGG
rnacentral:rRNA from 1 species